rnacentral:rRNA from 1 species
UACGUAGGGCGCAAGCGUUGUCCGGAAUUAUUGGGCGUAAAGAGCUCGUAGGCGGUUUGUCGCGUCUGCUGUGAAAACUCAAGGCUCAACCUUGGGCUUGCAGUGGGUACGGGCAGACUAGAGUGCGGUAGGGGUGACUGGAAUUCCUGGUGUAGCGGUGGAAUGCGCAGAUAUGAGGAGGAACACCGAUGGCGAAGGCAGGUCACUGGGCCGCAACUGACGCUGAGGAGCGAAAGCGUGGGGAGCGAACAGG